CAAGUCGAACGGGCCGCAAGGCCAGUGGCGGAAGGGUGAGUAAGGCGACGGUAACCAACCCCAUGGUUGGGUAUAGCCGCGGGAAACUGCGGGUAAUCCCCAGCGACGUCCGAGCCGGGCAUCCGGCACGGACCAAAGUCCUGGCGCCGUGGGACGGGCCGUCGUGGUAUUAGGUCGUUGGCGGGGUAAUGGCCCACCAAGCCUCUGAUGCCUACCGGGCGUGCGAGCGCGACCCGGCACACUGGGACUGAGACACUGCCCAGACUCCUACGGGAGGCUGCAGUCGAGAAUCUUCGGCAAUGGGCGCAAGCCUGACCGAGCGACGCCGCGUGGAGGAUGAAGGCCUUCGGGUUGUAAACUCCUGUCGAGGGGGAGGAAGGUCGCGCAAGCGGCUUGACCGAUCCCUGGAGGAAGCACGGGCUAAGUUCGUGCCAGCAGCCGCGGUAAGACGAACCGUGCGAACGUUAUUCGGAAUCACUGGGCUUAAAGCGCGUGUAGGCGGACGGGGACGUCGGUCGCUGAAAUCCCCCGGCUCAACCGGGGAACGGGCGCCGAAACGCCCCGUCUCGAGGGACGUAGGGGGACCUGGAACUUCCGGUGGAGCGGUGAAAUGCGUUGAGAUCGGAAGGAACGCCCGUGGCGAAAGCGAGGUCCUGGACGUCUACUGACGCUGAGACGCGAAAGCUAGGGGAGCGAACGGGAUUAGAUACCCCGGUAGUCCUAGCUGUAAACGAUGGGCACUGGGUAGGGGGCUCGCCGAUGGGCUCCCU
rnacentral:rRNA from 1 species